rnacentral:rRNA from 1 species
AUGCGUCGCGAUAGAAAGCUCCGGCGCCUAAGGAUGGGUCUGCGGCCUAUCAGGGUAGUAGUGGGUGUAACGUACCUACUAGCCUACGACGGGUACGGGUUGUGAGAGCAAGAGCCCGGAGAUGGAUUCUGAGACACGAAUCCAGGCCCUACGGGGUGCAGCAGGCGCGAAAACUUUACAAUGCUGGAAACAGCGAUAAGGGGACCUCGAGUGCCAGGAUACAAUCCUGGCUGUCGUAAUGCCUAAAAAGCAUUGCAUAGCAAGGGCCGGGCAAGACCGGUGCCAGCCGCCGCGGUAACACCGGCGGCUCGAGUGGUAACCGCUAUUAUUGGGUCUAAAGGGUCUGUAGCCGGCUGACUAAGUCUCUUGGGAAAUCUGACAGCUUAACUGUCAGGCUUUCAGGAGAUACUGAUCGGCUCGAGACCGGGAGAGGUGAGAGGUACCUCAGGGGUAGGGGUGAAAUCUUGUAAUCCUUGAGGGACCACCAGUGGCGAAGGCGUCUCACCAGAACGGAUCUGACGGCAAGGGACGAAAGCUAGGGGCACGAACCGGAUUAGAUACCCGGGUAGUCCUAGCCGUAAACGAUACUCGCUAGGUGUCGGCCACGGUGCGACCGUGGUCGGUGCAGUAGGGAAGCCGUG